GGAACCGUGCCUGAACAAAGGGCCACUUUGAUAGAGUGAAUCAUGGAGGUUAAAAUCCUCCCGGCUCCU
rnacentral:tRNA from 1 species